rnacentral:rRNA from 1 species
UACGGGGGGGGCAAGCGUUGUUCGGAAUUACUGGGCGUAAAGGGCUCGUAGGCGGCCAACUAAGUCAGACGUGAAAUCCCUCGGCUUAACCGGGGAACUGCGUCUGAUACUGGAUGGCUUGAGAUUGGGAGAGGGAUGCGGAAUUCCAGGUGUAGCGGUGAAAUGCGCAGAUAUCAGGAGGAACACCAAUUGCGAAGGCAGCUCGCUGGGACGUUACUGACGCUGAGACGCGAAAGCGUGGGGAGCAAACAGG